rnacentral:misc_RNA from 1 species
GAGGCCACAAAGGGACUGAGGCCCAUUACUUAUAUAGAGGAGUGAUACCUGUAUAUUAACCCAAUCAGAAUUCACAUCCAAUGAGACAACUGUUUUGACUUACCUUUAAACCUUUAGAAUUAGAGUAGAUGUUUGAUUUACUGCUAAUCUUGUAUAUUCUGUUCUAACUUCAUAGAAUCCUUGUGUGGAAUAUUCCUUCCUUUGGUGUUUUUAUCUAGGAGUUUUUGCAGAACUGAUUUAAAGAUUCUGAAAAUGUAUUUAGACAAUGAGUAGAUUGACUAUAUAAACAUGAUACUGCUUAUGAAUGCUUUUUUUGUUUUUUAAUAAAACUUUA